rnacentral:misc_RNA from 1 species
AUGUUUCACCCACGUACUUCAAAUACAAACAAUCCAGCCCGUCCUCUAAACAGCCUAGUGUGAGGACGGGUUGCAUAAACAGGGGGUUUGGCGGCUGGAUUAACUUAUUAAUUAUUAUGCGAGGACUGGCUGGCUCACAUACGACUUGAUAACGGGCCAGGACGGACCGAAACAUCGUCCUUUCUCUAUAUUCUGAUAUGUGGUUUGGCCCCUCAUACCUUCAGCCACGUUAUUGUGAUUCAUCGUCUGCUACAUAUAUACCGCGCACAUAUGAAAAUGUGUGGUGCUGGUGUUGAUUGUGGCGGGAACAGCAACAUGCGCACCCAACCUUCUGCCUGGUGACGCAGGUGCGCAUGCGUUCUCCACCACGCAUGACCAUGUUGCAGUCCAGCCUGCGCCACAUGCUCACCUCAGUACCCU